CUGGGAUCAGUAGCCAGAGUUAAAGCCUGGUUAGGGUCAGGGUUAGCUAACCCUGACCGUAACCCUGGGAUCAGUAGCCAGAGUUAAAGCCUGGUUAGGGUCAGGGUUAGGGUUAGCUAACCCUGACCGUAACCCUGGGAUCAGUAGCCAGAGUUAAAGCCUGGUUAGGGUCAGGGUUAGCUAACCCUGACCCUAACCCUGGGAUCAGUAGCCAGAGUUAAAGCCUGGUUAGGGUCAGGGUUAGCUAACCCUGACCCUAACCCUGGGAUCAGUAGCCAGAGUUAAAGCCUGGUUAGGGUCAGGGUUAGCUAACCCUGACCGUAACCCUGGGAUCAGUAGCCAGAGUUAAAGCCUGGUUAGGGCUCCACGAUCACACAUUUACAUUUGGUCUACUACUAGAAGUUAGUGGAGUUACUGGUAUAGAUUCUAGAAACUUGAAAGCUGAAUAUGACGCAAACAAUGUGCAACAAAAACAGAAGAUAGGCUGUUAGUGGGUUGUUGUUGAUGUCCAUUCUGGUCAACACACACACACACACACACACACACACACACACACACACACACACACACACACACACACACACACACACACACACACACACACACACACAAUACCCUAAACAUAGGCAUAUGUUUUUUUUUUAUUAUUAUUUGAAAAGAAAUAUCGCCUUUUUAUCGGCAACUUUAGACGAUCGACAAUGGAAUCUAUCUAUCGUCGAUAGUAGAUAGAAUCGACUAUCGGCCCAUCCCUAGCGCGUGCCGUGCCUUGUUCAGGCACGCCAGAAUUCAAAAAGUUAAGAGAUGGUUAAAGCAAAGCGCAGCGAAGAAUUUAAAUACUUUAAAGAAAUAGGAGAUCAUAAGGUGGAUUGUAAGUACUAUGCGGCAACAUAUGCUCCUGAAACACAACGGUGGGUUCGGGAAAGCAGACCCGCAGCGACCAACUGUGUCGGCUAUUUUCACCGCAGCAAGACCAGGGCUGUACAGUGCGACAGUUUUGAUCGCAUUUGCUAUUAAAAUAUAUAACGUGCAAAGAUAAAUACAAGUCCACUCGCACCGGUGCGAAAGGGUGAGAAGGACCCGUGCCGAAAAAAAAUACGUCUUUCUGUACGGCUUUCAAUGGCACCACUAAGCGCGAGUGUGUGGGAGCAUGAUGGGAGCGAUGCAUGCAGUGAAAUGUAUUUUGAAUUAUAGGCUCGCCAGUUCCGCUCAACUACUAAAAAACGACAUUUCCCGAACAUUCGCACGUUGAGGAGGGGCUUUGUAACGGUCGCGGGAAAUUCACUUUUUAAGCAAAACAGAAAAAUGAAAAGGUAUUUCUCUGUAUUCGGAAGUUCUUCAUCAAAUAAAGAUGGAAACUUUGAAAAAAAUCCACGUAUGGAAGAGAUUGACUCGGCGACCACAAGCACGGAACCGGCACCUUCCGACGAAGCCGACUCCACCCAUGACUCCGUCUCGGCCAACGGGAAGACGUACAGGUUUAACCCCCAUUGGUUACAAACGUUCAAUUGGCUGGUAUACGACCAAUCCAAGAAGUCUAUGUUUUGUAACUAUUAUUAGCCCUAACCCACUAUUAAAUUUGUAAUAAUUACUUAAUUUUGUUGAAUGUGUUCACCACUUCUGGCUGCUGAUGUUUUAAAAGAGGCUCUCAUAGUCACUUUACUAUUUAAUAUGUUCAGUCACUUUACUGUUGUUGAAUUUGUUCAUAUUGUGUUACUUUUGUAUAUACACGUCCUAAUCUGUUCAGUUGUAUCAGAAUAUUUUUUAUAUUUUUGACUAUAGUAUGUGUGCUACCAAAAUUAUUUUUGUGCUACUGAAUUUUUUUGUUUGCUAGCACCAGUGCUACCAUUUUAAAAAGUAAGCGUACAGCCCUGAAGACGCAGCUGUAAUCCCGGCCGUGUAGAGAAGAUCACAACGCUUAGUAUUUCC
ensembl:lncRNA